rnacentral:misc_RNA from 1 species
GACAAAACAAGGGUCAAUAAUAAAUUACUUCAAAACUAUUGUUAUGUAGAUUUCUUGAGUAAGAGAACAAAACUUCAUGAUUGGGAUGCAGACCACAAGUCAUUCAAUUGUUCAACAUUCAAUGAAAAUCUACACACUCUUUGUGAAGAAAGACUCUUCUUAAAGAAAGGAGAAGAGAAGAUGGGAGGGAGUUGUGCUCUAGAAGAUUGAUUCUCAUCUUUUCAACAACUUGCCUUUUCCUUGCAUCUAACUCUCUCUCACCUAGCUCUCACGAAUUCUGAUAUACACGUGCGUGUGGGGCUCUGGGUUUACAAAUUAACCUGUUAAAAAGAAAUACAGGAAUUACCAAUUUUUCUUCAAUAAGCUUUUUCUUCUGUAUAAAAAAAUAAUUGAACAAAAAAAAGCUUUUAAAUCAAGAGUUCUUUUUCUCUUAGGACGCCCCUCUAUGUUCGUUUUACAGUCUAAAGAUCAAAUAUCAAUUUCUCCUUAACAAUGUAAUGAAUAUUACCACUGCACUCAACACUUGUUUAUUUUCCACUUAAGAGUUUCAUACUGAAUAUAAAAUAUUAACCUAUAUAACUAACAUGAAUAUAGUGGUCCGAGUAAUGGAAUACACGUAUACCUCUUCCCAGCAUAUAUCCAAAAAUUGCACAAGGAGACAACAUUGAACAACUCACGCACCAUGGGUAGUUCAUAUUGAAGCUGAACCCAUAACUCAGACAAAGAUUUAAAACGUGCCAGCAAGCCCAACUCAAACAAGCCUUUUACUUAAAUCAAUUUUCGUCUACUGCCGGAAAGCCCAAAUUAAAGUCGAAUCCAUCCCAUGCAUAUCACGGACCAGUCUGAGUCCUCCUCAAGCACCGUUUCUUAACUCCCUGCUGCUGAUUCAUCAUCUCCAUGACCUGAUUUUUCUGCAUUUCCAUGACUUCCGCCUGUUUCUUUUGCAAUUUUCGGUUCUCCUCUUUUAUCUUUUCAACUUCUGCUUCCAACUCCAUGGUAUAAGCCUGCUUGCGAGCCCGUGACCUUGCAGCUGACUCUCUGUUCUUAAUCAUUCUUCUCUGCCUCCUCUCAACCACCUUCUCCACAGCACCAGUGGCUCUCCUUCCCCUUAAACCUCCAUUAAAGACAUAAGGAACUGGCGACACUGAAGAUGUGUCCCCAUUACUCUUUGUAAUCCCAUCUGACGACAGCUGGUUUGCAGGUGAUCCCGUUGCAACACCUCCUAAUCCAACCAUUCCCAAAGCUCCACCCUGCAUCAAACCACCGCUAAUCCCCUGAUCCCCAAUCCCCAUGAUUCCCCCCUUAAUUCCUGGACUAGUUUGCAAAGGCAUCUGUGUCACAUAUCCCAAAUUAGGCUGCUUCGGAAAUAUUUGUUGUUGCUGCUGAUGCUGUACCUGUGCCUGGUAUGAUCUGACCCCAUUAACAUUGAAAGGCAGAUUCGAGGAAUGCAUAGAAAUCUGAUUAGUAUUAUUAUUGUUCAAUCCCAAGCCUCUAUUCUGCUGAAACCCAAUUCCUAAAGCAGAAUUAUUCCCUGACCUGGAUAAAUCACCAAAAAAACUACCAUUAGCAUUAAGCUUUGCAGCUAAUUGAGCAUCUUCUCUCACCACCCCAGCUCUCACCAAAAACUCCUCUAAAGUUAUCUCCCCUAAAGUUUGCUGCCUCUGGGGCAAAUUAACUGCUCCAGUAACAGCCCCAUUCCCAUAUUCCUUCGAUAUGUCUUUCCACACCUCAUCCACUGUCUUUUGACUAAUGGUACGCGGCAGGGUCAAAGAGCCUUGGCGCUGCAGACCCUCUUGGGCAACAGUAGAGGAGGCUACCAUGUUCUGUGUUUCCUCUGCAGUCCAUAUAUUCUUGAGCAGCUCAUCCAUGUUCAUAGACCCAAAGUCCUUUCCUAUACCCCCCACGGUGCUCUGAAAUUCAUCGAAGGUCAACGAGUAGAUGGAUGGCUGUCUGGCCAAUGAAAAGUUCCCCGGCGGGCGGCUACCGCUGCCCCCUCCACCACCAGCGUCCGACGAAUGGUCGUUGGGGAAGUUCUUGAAGUUGAUAUUAGUCCCCAUUUCGUUAAUAUCGUUAAUAUAUAUACAUAUAUUUCUCUUUGAUUUUGGUGGCUGCUUUGUCUGCUGUUUAUGGGUCCUUUCUUCUUCGAGAAUUUAGGUAAUGGUGGAAGAGCCAAGUGUCUGUUGUCUCCGAAUUUUUUUUUAUAGCUUUUAAGAGAGGGC